GACGAACCGAGCGAACGUUGUUCGGAAUCACUGGGCUUAAAGGGCGCGUAGGCGGGCUGUCAAGUCUGGGGUGAAAGCCCACGGCUCAACCGUGGAAGGGCCUCGGAUACUGACGGCCUCGAGGGGGGUAGGGGCACGCGGAACUGUCGGUGGAGCGGUGAAAUGCGUUGAUAUCGACAGGAACUCCGGUGGCGAAGGCGGCGUGCUGGACCCCUUCUGACGCUGAGGCGCGAAAGCCAGGGGAGCGAACGGG
rnacentral:rRNA from 1 species